rnacentral:rRNA from 1 species
UACGGAGGAUCCAAGCGUUAUCCGGAUUUAUUGGGCGUAAAGGGUGCGUAGGCGGCCUGACAAGUCUGAUGUGAAAUCCCUGGGCUCAACCCAGGGCCUGCAUCGGAAACUGUCGGGCUUGAGUAUGGGAGAGGUGAGUGGAAUUUCCGGUGUAGCGGUGAAAUGCGUAGAUAUCGGAAGGAACACCUGUGGCGAAAGCGGCUCACUGGACCAUUACUGACGCUGAGGCACGAAAGCUAGGGGAGCAAACAGG